UCCCCAUGGAAUUCAUUCUUAGAAGAAUUUGAAGCAUUCUGCAUGUAUUGAACUUGUUCUUGUUGCUGCUCAACAUUGCCCACUUCACCUUGGCCCCAUUCAAUUGAAUGUUGACUUGUUGUGCUCACUGAGGCUAAUUGGAGGCCAUCUAUUCUCUUUGCCAUCAUUUUCAUUUGCUGUUGGAUUUGUUGGUGUAUCAGUUUGUUCUAUGCCAAUACAGCAUCAACACCUUCAAGCUCCAUUACACCUUUCUUUGGGGUUGAGUUAUGAUGCCUCUCUGAUGAGUAGUAGUAUUGAUUGUUUGCAACAAUCUCAAUGAGGUCUUGGGCCUCUUCAGCAGUCUUCAUCAUGUUGAGUGAUCCUCCUGACGAGUAGUCUAGUCCCUUCCUUGCUUCUAAAAUUAAGCCUUGAUAGAAGUUUUGGAGUUUGACCCAGUCACUAAACAUGUCAGGUGGACAUCUUUUCAUUAAUGCCUUGUAUCUUUCCCAGGCUUCAUACAGUGACUCCCCUUCCAUUUGCCUAAAAGUUUGGACCUCUGUCUUCAACUUGAUGAUCUUUUGAGGUGGGUAAAACUUGGCUAAAAAUCUUCCCACUAUAUAAUUCCAAUUGUUGAUGCUUUCCUUGGGGAAUGACUCUAACCAUUGAGUGGCCUUAUCCCUCAAAGAGGAUGGAAAUAGCAACAGCUUGUAGAUGUCCGGAUGCACUCCAUUUGUCUUCACUGUAUCACAUAUCCUCAGAAAAAUAGACAAGUGUUAAUUUGGGUCUUCAAGAGGUCCCCCUCCAUAAGAGCAAUUGUUUUGUACCAAAGUGAUGAGUUGGGGUUUCAACUCAAAGUUGUUGGCAUGGACAUUUGGGGUGACUAUGCUGCUUCCACAAUGCCUUGGAUCAGGAAUGGUGUAUGAGGCCAACACCCUUCUAGGUGGUCCAUUAUUGUUAGCAACCCCCUCAGCAGGGUUAUGUGAGUUGCCCUCCAUGACUUGGUCUUCCCCUUCUGAAUCCU